rnacentral:rRNA from 1 species
UAAUACGUGGGGUGCAAGCGUUGUUCGGAAUUACUGGGCGUAAAGCGCGUGUAGGCGGCGCACUAAGUUCGAUGUGAAAGCCCUGGGCUUAACCCAGGAACUGCAUUGAAAACUGGUGGGCUUGAGUCCGGGAGAGGGUCGCGGAAUUCCUGGUGUAGAGGUGAAAUUCGUAGAUAUCAGGAGGAACACCGGUGGCGAAGGCGGCGACCUGGACCGGUACUGACGCUGAGACGCGAAAGCGUGGGGAGCAAACAGGAUUAGAUACCCUGGUAGUCCACGCUGUAAACGAUGAGCGCUAGUUGUCGCGGGUAUUGACCCCCGCGGUGACGCAGGUAACCCAUUAAGCGCUCCGCCUGGGGAGUACGGCCGCAAGGCUA